rnacentral:rRNA from 1 species
UACGUAGGGACCAAGCGUUGUUCGGAUUUACUGGGCGUAAAGGGCGCGUAGGCGGCAAUUCAAGUCAUCUGUGAAAUCUCCGGGCUUAACUCGGAACGGUCAGAUGAUACUGCUUUGCUAGAGUGCGGAAGGGGCAAUCGGAAUUCUUGGUGUAGCGGUGAAAUGCGUAGAUAUCAAGAGGAACACCGGUGGCGAAGGCGGGUCUCUGGGCAGUAACUGACGCUGAGGAGCGAAAGCGUGGGUAGCAAACAGG